AGCCUUGUGGUGAAUAACUCAUAUUGAAUUGCAAAUUCGAAGAAGUAGCUAACAGCUACCAGGGCUU
rnacentral:tRNA from 1 species